ensembl:lncRNA
UAUAUGCUUGAGUAAUAUACACGUUGAUAUUUAUUUACAUCGUAAAAACAUUGUUAAUUUUUUGUUAGGGUAUUAUAACAUAUAAUUGAAUAUUUGAUGGAAUUAGUACAUUAUUUUUCAUACUAUUAAUAAUAAACACGUGCUUCUUACAAGUAUACAUACUUGUAUUUUUAAAAAUAUGAAAUAUAUAUAUAUAUAUAUAUAUAUAUAGUAUUGCGAAGGAUACGCAUGUUUAUGUAACAUACAACACACAUAUAACCCGACCACUAAAGAAGCAUAUACAAGCAUAAUAUACAUGUGUCUUGAUAUAAAUUCCUUAGUGCACAACUAAACAUGUUGUAAAAAAAAAAAAAUAAAAUAAAAAUAAAAAAUGACGAAUACAAAAAAGAUAUUUGUCUUUUUUAGCUUUUGCCUUUUUUUAUCAGUUGCAUAUAAAGUAAGAGGAAAUAAUGUAGGUUCUACAAAAAACAUAAAUAUUAUUCGCUCAGGUGAAAAUAAAAUAAAAACAUGGGGAAGCAAUAUAUGGAAUGAUGUGUCCAAUAACUUAUACUGGUUGUUUGAUAAGAUUAUAUACGAAGAAGAAAAAGAAGGACCAGUUGCAGAUGGGAUACCUUAUUCUUUAAAAGAAAAAUAUGUUUCUUUAGAUGAAAAUAUAGAAAAAGAUAUAGCUACAUUCAUUGAAGAAUUUAAUGAAAAAAAACAUGUCUUAUAUCCACAAAAUAAUAGUUUAAACUAUAAAUGCCACAAUAUAUUAUAUGCUGUUAUAAAAAGAAUACAAAAGAAUAUUAAUAAAUGCAUUUGUAAGACUGUUUUUUUAAAUAAUAAUACUUAUGUUCAUACAUUUGAUAGUAUUUUGUUUUUUUUUAUAAACGAAAUUUAUAAAAAAAAUAAGUACAUACAUAAUUAUGAUGUUUAUAAUACAAUUCAAGUGUUACAAGCAUACCAUCUCAGCGCUGCACAAUAUCCAUUAUUGUUAAUAAAAAAUAUAAUAAGCAAGACAAAAACCAAUAAAAAAAAUAAGUAUAUCAUUAGUGAUAAGACAAGAAAUAUAAUUCGUUUUGAUAAACAAAUAAAUGCAAAAAUGCAAAAAACAGAAAAUAGCUUUAAUAUUUGGAACAUAGAUACGAUUAAAAAUUUAAUUUAUCAAACAGAAAUAAACACAUUACACAAUAAGAAACGAAAAAAGCGUAUCUUAACAAGUAUAGGAAAAAAAAGAAAAAUUAAUUUUCAUAAAGAUGAUAGAAAAGCAUUAUUAGAACUUUCUGAAAAACCAAAAAAAUUGCGUAAUCAAUUUGAAGGCGUUAAUUUGCAUGAUGAUGAUGAAGAUGACCUGUCUUUUGCACAUAAUCUCAAUGAUGUUGUGACUAAUGAUGAUAAGAAACGUCUUUUUUAUGAAAGCAUAGAUAACAUGACUCCGGAUCAAAAAGAAGCGCUUAAUACGAAGUUACGCUUAGAUUUGGAAAAAGAUGCUAAUGAUAUUUCUUCAAAAAUGGCUUUAGAUUAUUUAAAUGAAAAAUUAAAAAAAAAAAAAAAAGAUAAUGAAGAAGAUACAGAAGAAAAUUCGUAUAGUUCAUAUGCACAUGAUUUAGGAACAGCAAAUCCAGGAGCGCCAGUAACAGGACCAGGAACAGAACCAGCAACAGAACCAGGAACAGAACCAGCAACAGGACCAGGAACAGGACCAGGAACAGAACCAGCAACAAAACCAGGAACAGAACCAGGAACAGAACCAGCAACAAAACCAGGAACAGAACCAGGAACAGAACCAGCAACAGGACCAGGAACAAAACCAGCAACAGGAACAGGACCAGGAACAGAACCAGCAACAGGAACAGGACCAGGAACAGAACCAGCAACAGGACCAGGACCAGGAACAGAACCAGCAACAGGAACAGGACCAGGAACAGAANNNNNNNNNNAACAGAACCAGCAACAGGAACAGGACCAGGAACAGAACCAGCAACAGAACCAGCAACAGGACCAGGAACAGUGCUAGGAAUAAAACCAGGAACAGGACCA